UCAGGGCUGCCCAGGUGAGACUUUUGCUUUCCAUUUCCCAGCUGGGUCCAUCAGGCCAGAGGCUGCUGCUCCUUCUGACUCAGAUGUGCAGCUGUGACCGGACCUACACAGCUAAGGACAUCUGAGUCCUGAACAAACUCAUCCCUGGAGAGACUCCUUGCAUCCUGACAGUGGACCAGGACUGUGGCUGCCUAGACCAGCUGGGGUCAAAUGUUGACUUGGAGGUACAGGAAGCCUGGAGACUGAGCCACAAGCUGUCUCUGAAUGGUGCAGCCAGGGUGAACAGUGUGAGUGCUCCCUCUCCUCCAAUUGGGGCAGUAAGGGAACUGAUGCCAGACAACGAAGCACAGGAAUUGACAGCGAGUCCCAGGCCUGAGCUCAGGGUUGAGAGGCAGCUGCUCAUUGCU